AUAAAUAGAGAAUAAUAGUAAAAUUAAUUAAUAAAAUUAAAGUAAAAUAUAAAUAGUAAAAUUAUAUGGUUCUAUUUUCCCAGUCACCUGAACACACCCUUCAUUCAUCGUGCAGGAGUCACAUGGUAGGUUCAGUGAAUGCUUUCAACCAAUCAUAGCAUGCAAGCAUGUUUUUACAAGCUGCGGUGAGUUUCCCCAACCAGUAGUGUGAAGGGGAAGCCACCGGAACAGUUGCAUUCGUGUCAACCGCCGUCGUCUUUAGAAGCCGACUAGUGCCGCGGUGCGUCGAAUAUCUGUAGGAAUUGGCCAGGUGCGGCCAGUUGAUGGCGAGCAAUUAUUACCUGGAACAGAACCUGCCUCAACAACAUCAUCGCCACCUGUGGGUUCGGUAGGAGGUUGUGCAGCUUUGCUCACUCCCUCACUCUCAUUACACACACACACACACACACACACACACACACACACGGUUCUGGCUCAUGGACUAAUUGCAUCUCACGGACCGUUCACAUUAUUUGGACAUGGUGUUCAUCUUUUAUGAGCAAAGAAUAUAGUCCUAUACUGUGUUGUGAAUUGUCUUUAAAUUGAGUACUCUCCAGUUUUUCUGAGUUACAAGUUGUUGUUUACCCUCUGUGAACUACUGAACUUCUCUGCAGAUUUGAAAUAAUUUUGGGUAUUGUUGUUAUUGUUUGUCUUUGUUUUCACUUAAUACAUGGUACCAACACAAAAUCUAAAUUAUCUGUCUCUGUGUUAUUAUUUGCUUUUUCAACACCUCCCUCAGACGAACUUUAUCUUUUGUAAUCCAAUUAUUAAUUAACAAUCUAUAGCUAUAUUUAACACGCAUACCCUGUGUAUAUGCUACACAUACAUCAGUGGAAAGAUUAUAUAUUCAGCUUUAAAGAAAUUGACUUGACUUCUGACUGGUUUUGUGGUCCAUGGUCACAUAUAACAUCAUGUUUCAUCCCAAAGACAGAUGAUUUAUAAGCUUAUAUCCAGUAUAUUAUCA